rnacentral:lncRNA from 1 species
UUCAAAAUUACUGGCAUUUUUCUUUGAAGUGGACAGCUUCUAGAAGCAUCUCAAUUAUGGAAUCAAUUACAAAACCGAAACUUUUAUUCCUACUUAUUAACUAUAAAGAGUUUAGCAGACCUCUUCAUUUUCUUGAAAGGCUGUAUGUUCUAGGCCAAUGUUUAUAGCUUUAAGGAACAUAAAAUAAUCAAGUAUGAUUUUAAAAAAGAGCCAACAUAUUCUCCCUGUUCACAAAGCUAUCAUGAUAAUCCUUUGGUUUGAUGUAAAGAUCCAAGCACAUGCUACCAGAAGAUUCAUCCCAUGGUCUUUCCUUCUCUUUACAUUUGUGUAAGAAUUCAGCAUGGUUACUGGAAGCUCAACAAGAAAAUGCAAAAAAAAAAAAAAAAAAAGAUAUAAGAAAGAGUCUUUUGUCAGGAUAAUUUGUGCUACUGUAUACUCUUGAAUUGCCUAUUUCUUGAUUUACUAUUAUUGCAAGAUGAUGUAUGGAUAUGUGAGUGUCCUCCUCACAGAAUGAAUGGUCAUGAGUUUUUGAAAAUGAACCCAUUAUUUUUGUGAUCGUCAUCAUGCAGACCCAGAGCCAGUGCUUACAUAAGACAGUGUCAACGACCAAAAGGGACAAUAGAGAACCUAAGCAGUAAUUCAGUGCCUGAGAGUCAAGUCUUCACAUGCUUGCUCACCAUUCCUAUGACAGUGUCACCAAAGCAAGCCAUGUGAGACACAAAGGGAAAACAUUCAUCACUGAGGAACACUAAGGAAAGAGGCAGCACACAUACAUACCAUGUGGCAUAAGCAGCAGGCAUAUCCCAGAUUACUAUCACUCCACUUUGUGCUACAUUUUCCCCCUGUAUUGUACCUUGACCCUUUCGACUUCCCUUGUUCCCUUCACGCCACACCCCUCACUCCCCACACACACCCUAAAGGCUGUGUCUCUAACCUAUGGCACUGUAGGGUUGUGCAAAAUUCAGGAGAAGUAGCCUAAUGAAAGAACUUAGGUCAUUGAAUAAAUGUGUUUGAAGAGCAUAAUCCCCCACUACACCCUGUGUCUUCUCUUUGGCUCCUUGCAGCCUUGAAAUAAGCAACCUGGCUCAAUAUUGGUUCCCUCUGCAUGAUGUCGUAGAUUACCAUAAACCCAGGAACAAAGGAACAGCUGACCUUGAAGAAUUCAGAACUGUCACAUCUGAAUUCUGCCAAUUCAAGGACUGGGAAGUUUUUUUCUAAUCUUUCCUCUUUUUAAGUUGAUUAUCUCAAAUACUAUGUUACAGCAACAUGAAUCUGACUAACCAACAUUAAAAACAAUUUUAUCUUAGGCCUUAAAGUUUAAAUGGUGCAACAAAACCUAAUAUUUCUCUUUCUUUGUUAGUAGCUUUAUUUUCUUUAUAACCCACUAAGUUUUCAUUUGAAAUAAAUUAAACAGCUGAGGGUCUGAAAUAAUCUACUGAGCUUAUAAGAAGGUCUAGUCGAAAGCCAGAGGCUGAACAUCACACACAGAGAUGGUGGUGAAGAAGACUACCUUGAAGCCUGGAGUCCCCUUUCGUGCUGCAGCUCAGCUGUUUCUUGGCAUCACUUGUAGAGAAGUGGGUACAGAAACUUAACCCAACGGGCCACAGCAGCUCUCAGACUGCUCCCACAGCCACCAUCUUGUGAUCUGCACACACUGCCUAAAGGCCUGAAGAAACUUCCCUGAUCAUUUUUAAAAAGACAGAUUUCGAAGCUAUAUAUCUUGCAUGUUCUUUAAGAUGCUUGCAUUAGAUUGAUUAUGCACAUAACAUGUGCUGAUUGUAUAAAGUAAAAACCUGCUCUGAAGGUCUUUAUCAUUUACGUUGAAAGGCUAUGAGCAAAAUGAAACAAAACAGAAAUGUUUGAGCAGCUGCCCCAGAUUCCAGCUUCACAUCUCAGGUUUGGUGAGAAGAGCUGCUGGUCCUAGCUGAUGUAGGUGGAGACACUUUCAAGAGAUCCUGGCUCUGCUGUCUCCCAUAUGAGGUAAUGUUCACUGCACCAUUACUUCAUCACACUGUUUCCUUCCUGGAGAUAAAGGGGCU